rnacentral:sRNA from 1 species
ACUUUAGCUUCCUUAAACCCUAAACCCUAAACCCUUAACCCAAAAUCCUCAACCCUAACCCUAAACCCUAAACUUUAAAAUCUAAAUCCUAAACCCUAACCUUAAACCCUAAACCUGAAAUCCUAAUUUAUAUUCCGAGAUCUAGUUGUAUUUCUAGUUCGGAUACUCAAUGAUACACAAAGAAUCUA